rnacentral:misc_RNA from 1 species
GGGAAGAAGAGAAGGGGGGAAAGGAAAGGGAACUUUUUGGUAUUCCGGAAAGUAUGCCUGUUUGAGGGUCAGUUAAAUAAAAAUCGGUGUUGUUGCUGCCUUUCGUGGUGACGCGUCGGAAUUGGGUCGUCUUACCUUCGGUUAAGUGACUUAAAAUUUUUGCAUGAUUUUCGAACGUAUUUAAAUCGCUUACGUACGUUUGAGAUAUCGAAUGCUUAUUAGGUUCGGUCAUUUCCAUGAUUCGCGCCUAUAAUUUUUCAUUAAAUGAACUCAAAUCAGGUAAGAAUACCCGCUGAACUUA